rnacentral:rRNA from 1 species
CCUACGGGAGGCAGCAGUGGGGAAUAUUGCACAAUGGGCGCAAGCCUGAUCCAGCAAUGCCGCGUGAAGGAAGAAGGCUUUCGGGUUGUAAACCUCUUUGACAGGGGGAGAGCAGAAGACGGUACCCUGAAAACAAGCCACGGCUAACUACGUGCCAGCAGCCGCGGUAAUACGUAGGUGGCAAGCGUUGUCCGGUUUUACUGGGUGUAAAGGGCGUGUAGCCGGGAAGGCAAGUCAGAUGUGAAAUCUGGAGGCUCAACCUCCAAAUUGCAUGUGAAACUGUGUUUCUUGAGUACUGGAGAGGCAGACGGAAUUCCUUGUGUAGCGGUGAAAUGCGUAGAUAUAAGGAGGAACACCAGUGGCGAAGGCGGUCUGUUGGACAGCAACUGACGGUGAGGCGCGAAAGCGUGGGGAGCAAACAGGAUUAGAUACCCCUGUAGUC